rnacentral:rRNA from 1 species
UACGGAGGGUGCAAGCGUUACUCGGAAUCACUGGGCGUAAAGGGCGCGUAGGCGGAUUAUCAAGUCUUUUGUGAAGUCUAACAGCUUAACUGUUAAACUGCUUUAGAAACUGUUAAUCUAGAGUUAGGGAGAGGUAGGUGGAAUUCUUGGUGUAGGGGUAAAAUCCGUAGAGAUCAGGAGGAAUACCCAUUGCGAAGGCGAUCUCCUGGAACUUAACUGACGCUAAGGCGCGAAAGCGUGGGGAGCAAACAGG